UACAGAGGGGGCAAGCGUUGUUCGGAAUUACUGGGCGUAAAGGGCGCGUAGGCGGCCUUCUAAGUCGAACGUGAAAUCCCUGGGCUCAACCCAGGAACUGCGUCCGAUACUGGAAGGCUUGAAUCCGGGAGAGGGAUGCGGAAUUCCAGGUGUAGCGGUGAAAUGCGUAGAUAUCUGGAGGAACACCGGUGGCGAAGGCGGCAUCCUGGACCGGUAUUGACGCUGAGGCGCGAAAGCCAGGGGAGCAAACAGG
rnacentral:rRNA from 1 species